rnacentral:rRNA from 1 species
GACGAACGCUGGCGGCGUGCUUAACACAUGCAAGUCGAACGGAAAGGCCCUGCUUUUGUGGGGUGCUCGAGUGGCGAACGGGUGAGUAACACGUGAGUAACUUGCCCUUUACUUUGGGAUAACUUCAGGAAACUGGGGCUAAUACCGGAUAGGAGCUCCUGCUGCAUGGUGGGGGUUGGAACGUUUCGGCGGUUGGGGAUGGACUCGCGGGUUAUCAGCUUGUUGGUGGGGUAGUGGCUUACCAAGGCUUUGACGGGUAGCCGGCCUGAGAGGGUGACCGGCCACAUUGGGACUGAGAUACGGACCAGACUAAAACGGGAGGCAGCAGUGGGGAAUAUUGCACAAUGGGAGGAAGCCUGAUGCAGCAACGCGGCGUGCGGGAUGACGGCCUUCGGGUUGUAAACCGCUUUCGCCUGUGACGAAGCGUGAGUGACGGUAAUGGGUAAAGAAGCACCGGCUAACUACGUG